UAGGGUCAAGCGAACAAGUGCAUGUGGUGGAUGCCUUGGCGAUCACAGGCGAUGAAGGACGCGGUAGCCUGCGAAAAGCGGUGGGGAGCUGGCAAACGAGCUUUGAUCCACCGAUAUCCGAAUGGGGAAACCCACUCCGAAUGGAGUAUCCAUGACUGAAUCCAUAGGUCAUGUGAAGCGAACGCGGUGAACUGAAACAUCUAAGUAACCGCAGGAAAAGAAAUCAACCGAGAUUCCCAGAGUAGUGGCGAGCGAAAUGGGACCAGCCUGUACUCUUUAUCUUCAUUGUUAGUCGAAGGCUCUGGAAAGUGCCGCCAUAGCAGGUGAUAGCCCUGUAGACGAAAACAGCGAGGAAGAACUAGGUGUACGACAAGUAGGGCGGGACACGUGAAAUCCUGUCUGAAGAUGGGGG
rnacentral:rRNA from 1 species